rnacentral:tRNA from 1 species
UCCCGGGUGGUUCAGACAGUAAAGAAUCCACCUGCAAUGCAGGAAACCCAGGUUCGACCCCUGGCUUGGGAA